GGAAAAUGACUUUUUUUUUUUUCAAAACAAGGCAUAAGCUUACUUAUUGUGUCUGUCUGUUUUAGUCAGUCAACAAUCUUCUAACCAUAGAAUUUGACAGAAAAAGCUGCAGUAAGCAUGUUUGUGCCUGGGAUCAAGCUUGAGGCUGAGCCCACACCGAGGCAGGAGGGGUGAGGCAUCAAGCAGCCCUCUGUUGGGUGUCAGGGGCAUGAUUCACACUGAGAUUCUGGAGGAAGAGCCACCGUAGGGAGCAUAACCACAACACUGGAGAUGUAACAGCAAACGUUGACAUCGUGUGACUGCUCUCCACACUUCAAGAACAGGUUUGCUCCCGGGGGGGCAGAGAGACGGGCUUCAUCUUCAGUGUGUGUAAAGCUCGAUCAGUAUGACUUCAGUGUGUGUGUGAGUGUGAUGGUGUCCUCUCAUCUAAACAACCUCUUAAACGGAUCCACCUCCUAACCCACUUCACAUUUGCAUCAGCUCCAGUUGCAGUCUCUGACAGAACAUCCUCAUAAAGGGCCUCAUUUGCCCAUGCGUGGGCUCUCUCCGGUAAGAUGAAGAUGCCCGAGUUUCUCCUCUGAAAAUCUGAAAAAGCAGGCC
ensembl:lncRNA